rnacentral:rRNA from 1 species
CCUACGGGAGGCAGCAGUGGGGGAUAUUGCACAAUGGGGGAAACCCUGAUGCAGCGACGCCGCGUGUGGGAAGACGGUCCUCUGGAUUGUAAACCACUGUCCCCAGGGACGAAGAUGACGGUACCUGGGGAGGAAGCUCCGGCAAACGACGUGCCAGCAGCGGCGGUAAUACGUAGGGAGCGAGCGUUGUCCGGAAUUACUGGGUGUAAAGGGAGCGUAGGCGGGGAUGCAAGUUGGGUGUAAAAACUACCGGCUCAACUGGGAGUCGCACUCAAAACUGCAGCUCUUGAGUGAAGUAGAGGCAGGCGGAAUUCCUGGUGUAGCGGUGAAAUGCGUAGAUAUUAGGAGGAACACCGAUGGCGAAGGCGGCCUGCUGGGCUUUUACUGACGCUGAGGCUCGAAAGUGUGGGGAGCAAACAGGAUUAGAUACCCUUGUAGUC